GGUUUAAAUUAAGAGUAGAUUGCAAAUUUACUCAAGCUUAUAGCGUAAGCCU
rnacentral:tRNA from 1 species